rnacentral:rRNA from 1 species
AACGAACGCUGGCGGCAGGCCUAACACAUGCAAGUCGAGCGAGGACUUCGGUCCUAGCGGCGGACGGGUGAGUAACGCGUGGGAACGUGCCCUUUGCUUCGGAAUAGCCCUGGGAAACUGGGAGUAAUACCGGAUGAGCCCUUUGGGGGAAAGAUUUAUCGGCGAAGGAUCGGCCCGCGUUGGAUUAGGUAGUUGGUGGGGUAAUGGCCUACCAAGCCGACGAUCCAUAGCUGGGUUGAGAGGAUGAUCAGCCACACUGGGACUGAGACACGGCCCAGACUCCUACGGGAGGCAGCAGUGGGGAAUCUUAGACAAUGGGGGAAACCCUGAUCUAGCCAUGCCGCGUGAGCGAUGAAGGCCUGAGGGUUGUAAAGCUCUUUCAGCUAGGAAGAUAAUGACGGUACCAGCAGAAGAAGCCCCGGCUAACUCCGUG